GCCGCGGUGCUGGAACUGGUAGACAGGGUGGACUCAAAAUCCACUGGAGCUAAAACUCCGUGAGAGUUCGAUUCUCUCCCGCGGCA
rnacentral:tRNA from 1 species